rnacentral:rRNA from 1 species
GACGAACGCUGGCGGCGUGCUUAACACAUGCCAGUCGAACGGAAAGGCCCUGCUUUUGUGGGGUGCUCGAGUGGCGAACGGGUGAGUAACACGUGAGUAACCUGCCCUUGACUUUGGGAUAACUUCAGGAAACUGGGGCUAAUACCGGAUAGGAGCUCCUGCUGCAUGGUGGGGGUUGGAAAGUUUCGGCGGUUGGGGAUGGACUCGCGGCUUAUCAGCUUGUUGGUGGGGUAGUGGCUUACCAAGGCUUUGACGGGUAGCCGGCCUGAGAGGGUGACCGGCCACAUUGGGACUGAGAGAGGGCCCAGACUCCUACGGGAGGCAGCAGUGGGGAAUAUUGCACAAUGGGCGGAAGCCUGAUGCAGCAACGCCGCGUGCGGGAUGACGGCCUUCGGGUUGUAAACCGCUUUCGCCUGUGACGAAGCGUGAGUGACGGUAAUGGGUAAAGAAGCACCGGCUAACUACGUG